rnacentral:rRNA from 1 species
UACGUAGGGUGCAAGCGUUGUCCGGAAUUACUGGGCGUAAAGCGCGCGUAGGCGGCUUUGUAAGUUAGAGGUGAAAGCCCGGAGCUCAACUCCGGAACUGCCUUUAAAACUGCAUCGCUUGAAUCCAGGAGAGGUGAGUGGAAUUCCGAGUGUAGAGGUGAAAUUCGUAGAUAUUCGGAAGAACACCAGUGGCGAAGGCGGCUCACUGGACUGGUAUUGACGCUGAGGUGCGAAAGCGUGGGGAGCAAACAGGG